rnacentral:rRNA from 1 species
UACGGAGGGUGCAAGCGUUGUUCGGAAUCACUGGGCGUAAAGGGCGUGUAGGCGGUCCGCUAAGUCUGAUGUGAAUGCCCGGGGCUCACCCCCGGAAGGGCAUUGGAAACUGGCGGACUCGAGUCUCGGAGAGGAAGGUGGAAUUCCUGGUGUAGCGGUGAAAUGCGUAGAUAUCUGGAGGAACACCGGUGGCGAAGGCGGCAUCCUGGACCGGCAUUGACGCUGAGGCGCGAAAGCCAGGGGAGCGAACGGG